UACGGAGGGAGCUAGCGUUGUUCGGAAUUACUGGGCGUAAAGCGCGUGUAGGCGGCCCGGUAAGUCCGCUGUGAAAGUCGGGGGCUCAACCCUCGAAUGCCGGUGGAUACUGUCGGGCUAGAGUGCGGAAGAGGCGAGUGGAAUUCCUGGUGUAGCGGUGAAAUGCGCAGAUAUCAGGAGGAACACCAAUUGCGAAGGCAGCUCGCUGGGACGUGACUGACGCUGAGACGCGAAAGCGUGGGGAGCAAACAGG
rnacentral:rRNA from 1 species